GACGAACGCUGGCGGCGUGCCUAAUACAUGCAAGUUGAGCGCUGAAGGUUGGUCCUUGUACCAACUGGAUGAGCAGCGAACGGGUGAGUAACGCGUGGGGAAUCUGCCUUUGAGCGGGGGACAACAUUUGGAAACGAAUGCUAAUACCGCAUAAAAACUUUAAACACAAGUUUUAAGUUUGAAAGAUGCAAUUGCAUCACUCAAAGAUGAUCCCGCGUUGUAUUAGCUAGUUGGUGAGGUAAAGGCUCACCAAGGCGAUGAUACAUAGCCGACCUGAGAGGGUGAUCGGCCACAUUGGGACUGAGACACGGCCCAAACUCCUACGGGAGGCAGCAGUAGGGAAUCUUCGGCAAUGGACGAAAGUCUGACCGAGCAACGCCGCGGGAGUGAAGAAGGUUUUCGGAUCGUAAAACUCUGUUGGUAGAGAAGAACGUUGGUGAGAGUGGAAAGCUCAUCAAGUGACGGUAACUACCCAGAAAGGGACGGCUAACUACGUG
rnacentral:rRNA from 1 species